rnacentral:rRNA from 1 species
AUACGUAGGGAGCAAGCGUUGUCCGGAAUUACUGGGCGUAAAGGGCGCGUAGGCGGGAUAUUAAGUCAGGUGUGAAAACGUGGGGCUUAACUUCACGAUUGCACAUGAAACUGGUAUUCUUGAGGACAGGAGAGGAAAGUGGAAUUCCUAGUGUAGCGGUGAAAUGCGUAGAUAUUAGGAGGAACACCAGUGGCGAAGGCGACUUUCUGGACUGUAACUGACGCUGAGGCGCGAAAGCGUGGGGAGUGAACGGGAUUAGAUACCCCGGUAAUCCACGCCGUAAACGAUGGGUACUAGGUGUAGGAGGUAUCGACCCCUUCUGUGCCGGAGUUAACGCAAUAAGUACCCCGCCUGGGGAGUACGGCCGCAAGGUUGAA